rnacentral:tRNA from 1 species
GUGCCCGUAGCCCAGCUGGAUAGAGCGCAAGACUCCGACUCUUGAGGCCGCAGGUUCGAAUCCUGUCGGGCACGCCA